CAAAAUCAUAACGGUCGAACGAAGGCCAUUAUCUUAACCUCCCAACAGAUAGCCGAUUAUUCCCCUCUUUUCUACGCGUAAUUCACAUUUUUUAAGGAUUUGAUGGCAGAAAAUGGAUUGAAGUAAAAGGACAUUAUGAUAGAGAUAGUAUAAUGUGCUCGAGUUUCAAAGCCAGAAAAGAAAGAAAUUGGAGGUAUAUGGAAUGUAUCAAUGCGUAAAUCGCAAGAAACGAAUGAAAACUUCGUAAACUUAAGUUAUUCACUAAUCACUGUACUUACAUCUAAAGCGCCUAUGCUUUAUGAACUGUUACUUGAAGUACAAAAUUGAAUAACUUAGCUUAGUAAAAACCUAGUAAUCAGUCUUGCACCUAAAAUUUGUCCAGAUAUUUAUUUUGAAUAUCUAAUGUUACUGUAGUUGGUUUUUGUCCGUAUAUUCUGAUCACAUUAAACCCUGCAUAUGAAGAACCUAGUUAUCUUUUCAAGCUAGCCUACCAGGUUCAAAUUUAAAUGGUGCAUAUAGAGGUAUUAGGCUUCUAGCUUCUUAUCUGGAUAUACAAAGAUGGAGGAGGAGGCAGUUCUUUUGGAAAACCGUAAUGACGCCAAAAAGGGUAAUGUUCAAAAGCUGUUAAAGUUGUUAUA